AACUGCUUUGGGCCCCCACCUUCUUGUUGGGCUUUCUCUUUCCCUGGAUGAGAGAAAUACACAUGUGUCAUUCUUCUCCCCUGGUCCCAUGGCACAAUGCAUUGUGGUAAAAGGAGUUCUGUGCUCAGAAUCAUGAAACUUGGAUAGAAUCCUUCCUUUUCUGUCUACUAUCUGUGUAGUAAGUGUUUCUCCUCCUUUCACAGCCUCAGUUUCUUUAUCUGGAAAAAUGGAUAAUCAUUUGCUCUCUAUAUAAUAGGAUUCUAUGUGGAGAAAAUACUUUUUUCAUGAAAGUUACAAAAAGCAUGGCUGUAGGUUCAAUGACUGCCACAUACUCUUUCCUUCAGUCCCUUUCCCUUGGGGCUGCGGAUUCACAGAGAGUUUCUAUUCUUGGUUGGAGUAUAAGCUAUGGUCAUGCAAUGGGGCUGGCCUUGAUCCCCCUUGGCAGGGAAAUUCUUGAGAUGGAAAGGAGAAUUUAAACUUUGUCUCCUUCCCCACACAGAGAUUCACCAUUGUACUUAUAUUUUUCCUCUUUGUGGCAUAAAAUGUCACAUGGAAGCAUGCUACUAUGAAACCUGGUCCUCAUCUAUUGGCUUUAGCAUCCAGUAAUUGGGUCCACAGUAAAAGUCCUGGUACCCAAGUAAUUCACUGCUCUGACUCUCUUGUGUAGAGAUGACAGACCCUCCACUUCCAUAAUCACAUUAAUGGGGAGCAGGACCACAGAGCGAUCAUAUUUGGCCUUAGUUUCCUUUUAUUUCAUGCAGUUUUAUUGUUACAAACCUUAGGAGUAUCCCAACUUCCUGUGCCUGACUCUGGGGAUAUUCUGAAUGGAGAGCAGGGGGGAGAGAUAUAAUUGUGAAAUGGGGAAGUGACCUUGGGAAAGUCAGACACCAACAGCAUAUACUUUAGAGGAGGGAUUAUUUUUUUGUUGGCCUAAAUCUGUACAUAAGGAUGCUUAAAGCACACAUUUCAAUUUAGUAAUGAAAUUAUCUGUGUGUUAUUUUGCUUUUGUUAACUAUUUCCCAAUUACCUUUUCACCUUGUUCAGGCAGCACCUGGGAAUGUUGCAGGCUAUGUAUUUGACACCUGUGGUCUAAAAGAGCUUUUUGUUAAUUUAAUUUUUUCCAAUUAAUCAAAAUCUAUUUUCUGUCCCCCUUCUACCUUCUACCACUAAGUAGGAAAAGUAUGGGUUGUGACUGCAUGAAGCCACAAAUUAAUAUAUUCUUAGGUGGAUACCUGAGGAUAGUUAGAAAGUGAGGGAAAAUGGGCAAAGGGAAUAUAGAGAAAGAGGGAAUAUAAUAAAGGAAGAAAGACUCAGAGACACAGCUUAAAGAGCUUGGGAUCCAGCCUGUGUGCUCCUCUGAUGGUGGUAGAGAGAGAGAGAGAGUGAAUUACCGUAUUUCAUCUAUUUUUUAUUGGGGGAUCAAGGAAUGGGGAAUUGGAGGUAGCUAAUCAUCAUGUGACAUGGCAAAAAAGUUAACAUUGGCUCAUCUGACAACUACAAGAUCAAAGAGGAUGAGUUUAAUUAAACAUGUGACCUGGUAUGGAAUCUGGUCUGACAAGGUUGGAACUAGGACCCUGUAUCAGCCUACCUAGGAAUUCUUCUGACCUUUGGACUGUAGAUUUGGAGAGUGGUCAGACUUAAUAGAGUACCUAUUAAAUACAAUGGUCACUGAAGUGAUCAGAGGUCCCAAGGCUUUCCAAGUUAUUUGCCUUCAGAACACUGUUAUUAUUGUAUAAAUUACCCUCUAGGUCCUACUCUUUUCCUUCUGUCUCAGUUCAGACAAAUGUUCUGAAGUUUCUGUUCUUGAACUCAUUCUGUUUCGUGUUUCUAUGAGUGACUUGGAUCAAAUGAAAGAAUAUCUGUAAAGCACUUUGUAAACGUUUACCAUUAAUGUGUAAAGGGUAAAAUUAUGGCUGAGACUGAAUGUAAUAUUAUUUUUGUCAUCAAGGAUUUUAUUUAUAAAAUGUAGUGAAAAACCCAAGUCAGCUGGAAAUUUUAUGUUGUUUUAAUUGAUAGUGGAGGAAAUUAAGGAGAAGGAAGAAGGAAAGGAAUCGGCUUUCUCUCCCCUUCCCUUCCCCUUGGCUAGUGUGAGGGGGGAGAUGAGGAGAUAAGGUUUUGGAGUAUGAAGGAAAGAGUCAGGCUUGAAUUGCAAAGGGAAAGGGCUAAGCCAAGAUGCCUGAACCUGAAAUCAGCUUCAGAGAAAACUCACCACUGAACUCAGACAAUAGCCAUCACCACACCAAGAUGUAGGAACGCCUAGCACACUGCCAUCCUGAGUUGUUUCUUCAGGGAAAACGGAGGAAAGAGGAAGUGACGUGCCUUAUAUAGUCAGUUUUACAUCACUUUCCUGCAUCUCAUCUGUACCAGUGAUCACUUAGCUUGACUUAGGACAGCCCAAAGGUCUGUCAUUUUUUUUUGUACAUGUCUGUUGAAGGCCAUUUCCUCAGAUAAUUAAAUCUUGGGUUUGAUGCAGACCUUCCUAAUCAUGUUAAACUAAAAAGAGUGGAGAAUGUAGAGUUUUCAAGACCUGAUUCUGUUAUUCCAAGUAUCUCCAUUGUUAUUGAUCAGGAAAUAGCUAAAUCAGAUCUUCUAAAGAAUGGUCUGAUUAGGGGGUAAGAGUUUUCAAAUUCACAAAUGUUCUACUGAUUCUAGAGACAAGCAGAAAGCAUUAUUUUGAAACUGGAAGGAAAGGAAAUAAAGAAAAAAUUGGGAGGAUAGGGAUGGUAGAAGCAGAUAUGAUGCAGAAGUAGCUCAGGAAGCUGGCACAGUAGAUGGAAUGUGAUAAGAUGAAUGAUAUUGGGGAUUGAUACCAGGUCCUAUCCUUGAGUACAAAAAGUCCAAAUCACCAAAAAGCAUCGGCCUUGAUGGGGCAGUGACUGGUACCCAUGUCAUAGAAAAAAGUUGAAGUAAUGCGGGAUGGUUGAUUUUAAAAAGAAGAAAUUGGAAACAGACUUUUAAUACCAUGUUAGAUUGCAUAAAGAGACCGUGGGGAUGAUUGAGAGAACCACCAACAUAUUAUCAAUUGGAAAGGUAACAGGGCACUUGAAAAAAACAUCAUGCAAACUUUUUUUAACCCUUACCUAUUAGCCUUAAAAUCAAUACUAUGCAAUAGAGGUUAAGUGACUGACCCAGGGUCAUAUAGCUAGAAAGUAUUUGAGGUCAGAUUUGAUCCCAGAACCUUUGAUAUAUAGGCCUGGUUCUCAAUGCAUUGAGCUACACAGUUACCUCACCCACCAAUGCAGUCUUAAGGAUGUCCACUUCCAAGAACAAGGAGAUAGCCAUCCUUCCGUACUAUCAGAUGGCACUUGGAGUUUUGUAUUUAGUUCUAGAUGACACAAUUUACAAGGGGCAUCAGUGAACUUGAGAGUGUUCAGCCAGUUUGUUGAGGGGUCUGGGGUCUCUGAAGAUCGAUUGAGGGAACUACAUAUUAGAAAAAGGAAUAGAAACCUUUGGGGAGGGGCCUGAUAGCAAUUUUCUGGACUCUUAUAUGGAAGAGGAAUUAGAAGUGUUUUGUAUGACCUCAGAGGGCUGAACUAGAAUCAUAGAGGCAAAUGGUGAUGGAAAGCAAAACCCUUGUGUGUGAGGAGACUAUCUUCAUGAAGUCAUUAUUAAGUCAUAUGUCCAACUUUUCCUGACUCCAUUUCUUAGCAGAGAUCCUGGAGGGGUUUGCCAUUUCCUUGUCCAGCUUAUUUUACAGAUGAUGAAAUUGAGGCAAACAGGAUGAUGUGACUUUCCUAGCGUCAAACAGCUAGUCAAUGUCUGAGGCCAGAUUUGAACUCAGAAUGAUGAGUUUCCUGACUCCAAUUUCCAUCCACUAUACCUCCUAGCUGUCAUUUAAUCAUUAAUUAGAGCUUAAUCCCCAAACCUGGCUCUAUUUGGGGAAAAAAGCAAAAGUUAAGCUUGCUUCCCUUCCCCAAUACUUAACCAUUUCUCACCAAUCCAAUGUUUUCUGUAGUGAGGUUGUAGCUUUGAUCAGUCUUGAUUACGGGGUCUGGUCAGCAUCUUCAUGUUUUUUAGCCAAUCUAAAUUAACUACUAACACUUAAUUAAUAAUAGUUUAGUGAGAGUAAAAUGUAAAAAUACUGAACAAAUGAAAGUACAUGUCAAACUUUUGUGGUCGUCACAUGGCAAUAAUUAAAAUUAAAUUAUGAGGCUGGUAGUAGCUUGAAUAGAUUUAUUACAUAAAAGUAGUGAUAGGAAAGAAAGGGAAAUGUAGGAAAGAAGGUCGUGAGUUGAUUAGCUGAAUACCCUAUUUACUAUUUGAUGUAUUGCAGCUAACCACCUACGAGAGAGAGAGAGAGAGAGAGAGAGAGAGAGAGAGAGAGAGAGAGAGAGAGAGAGAGAGAGAGAGAGAGAGAGAGAGAGAGAGAGAGAGAGAAGAGCAGGAGAAGCUCCUUGGGUAAUCUUAUAAGCAGUUUUCUCCACCCACUAGGUCUCCCCAUCACAUCUCAGGAACCAAUCAUAGUACCUCAGUUUGCCUGGCAACUCCCAGGGGGGCAGUUCCUGUGGGAUUAGUUUCCCCCCUCUUUGGUUUCAACUUCCUUUCUCUGAGGGUUUGUCUAUACAUGCACAUCUCAAUGGUAAAUGACAUCUUCUCUGAAAAUCUGUGAAAGACUCCUCCAGUCUCCAUUUCUGUGCCUUUCUCCCUUGGGAGCCUUUGAUUUCCAAGGGUCAGGUUAACCCUUUACCUAACUUACAAAAGGGACUUGGGCUUGUUCCCUCCCAGCCCUAGAAAGAGCAAAAGAUCCUCCCUAUUCUGAGUCCCAGAGUGGCAAGAGCCGUCCAUCUCAACCUGGCCAAGUGAGACUUGCAGUAGAGGAACCAUAUUCUCACCCUUACUUUCCCUCCCUUGUUUUUGUCACUGUAUGUGAGAUGGGAAGGUCUUCCUUUAAUGAACUUUCCUAUGGAAGUUCUGGGAUCUUCAUUCCCUGUUCCUUGACUGGAAACUGCUACUAAGGAAUCUCUCUAAAGGGAAAUCAGAAACACAUGAAGAGUUUAUGUAGUGUAGGACAUCUGAAAUAGGCUAAUAAAGCACCUCUCCAUGCCAGUCAUCUGGUGCUAAGGUUGCUGGACUGUGCAGGAAUGGGAACACUGAGGAAGCAUUUCCUUCUGAGGAUUGUGGUAACUCUCCAGUUCUCAGGUCUCUCCCACAGCUUUCUCCUUUUCCUGAUUUCUCUUUUCUUAGCAACUAGGUGAAAAGGCUCAGUGGAUAGAGGGGCCAGGUCUGGAGACAGGAGGUCCUGGCUUCAAAUAUAUUCUUAGACACUUGCUAUCUAUGUUACCCUGGGCAUUCCACUUACCCCCAAUUCUCAAGCCCUUACUACUCUUCUGCUUUAGAACCAACAUUUAAUAUAUAUUCUAAAACAGAAGUUAAGGAUUUUUUUAAUGUGAGAAUCCUGGGCCCCAGGACAAGAAAUGAGGAUGAGGAAGAUGUGGACUCCUUCUAUCCACUGUAUAGGACAGAUAUUCUUAGUUUGCUAUUUUUCUCCAUAAAAUUUUUUCCAGUGUCAAGAGCUGUUUUUGCUGUUGUUUACUCCUUUUUCUCCUGGAGGAUUGGGAUUCUUGCCUGUCGGUUGUCAUUGCUUUCCUAGCUUCUCUCUCAAGGACUUUGCCUUGGACUAUCUUUCCUUCCCUUUCAGAGGCCUGAGUGGUGUCAGGUAGAUCUGUGAUUUGUGUGUGUGUGUGUAGUUCAUGCUUCAAGGCAUUUUGUCCUAAGUCUAUCUUCCUCAGUUGUUGCCUGCUGGAUUGUCAAAUGCAACAUGGGUUUUCCCCCAAAUUUAUGAUCUUCACCUCUCCUUUGGCUGAGUGUUAUUCAGCUUUGAGUCUCACUGCCAAGGCCAGGCAUAGCCCUCAGGGGUAUUCUGUGGUGUUUUUAAUCAGCCUUUGAUAAUUUGGAAAUUUUCCUAGCCCUGGCUUUAACUAUGGCUCAGCAGGUAGGUGGGGGAAGGGGGAGACAUGGUCAACUAGUAGUUUGAUUUGAGCAGUUUCUCCCCCUUACAGCAUAGGAAUCCUCACUUACUGCCUACCUUUCACACUGUGUCCAGUGGGAGAAGCCCUUACUCCUCUCGUUCUGAUUUCUGUCCUUUUGAGAUGCUUUGUAAUGAUUGGUUAGAAGGAUAUUGAGAAAAGCUCCUGCUAUGCUGCCAUCUUGGCUCUGCCCCUGUUGGUUUCCAACUGCAGCCCUUCUGCUUCCCCAGGUCAUUCCACAUCAAUGGCUCACCAAAUGAGGUCAGCUUUAUCCCUUACUCCAAGGGAAUCUAUUAGCCCAAACUGGGUAAUCCUCUAGACACAGAAAUGAGAUGAUACUCACUAGAAGAGUUUCCAUACACCCAGCACUUUAAAGUCUACUAAGCAAUACAACAUCUUAUUGGGUUCCAAAGCAUAAGCAUUAUCUUCAUUUGACUGGCCAGGAAACUGAUAAGUAUCACUGGGCUAACAGGAAGCUUCCUCCCUUCCCUACUUCCCACGUCACUGAUCCUCUUCUUAUCAGUCCACAGGUGCAUUCAUUCAUUCAUCUAACUGACCUGGGCCACACCAGGCCAUUCACCUCUAUCCCACAAUAGUUUUCACCCAUUUCCUCAAUAUAAAGUCCCUAGGCUCUGGACUAGAGCUACAGAAAAAUGACUCAGUCCCUGCCCCCCUCCAGGAGUAUGUCCCAAACAAGAGGAGCCAAAGGAAGAAUGUGACUGAGAUAGACAGUAUGGUUCAGAAUCACAAAAUUUCCCUUUCAGAAAAGGAAAACUUAUUGUUCAGUUAUUUCAGACGGGUCUGUGUCUUCAAGACCCUAUUUGGUGUUUCUUUACAAAAGUACGGAAGUGUUUUGUUAUUCCCUUCUCCAGCUUCUUUUACAGAUGAGAAAACUGAGGCAAACAGCAUUCAUUGACUACCUCCUUUAAAAGUAAACAAUUAUUCAAAAGUUUGGUGGCUCUCUCAGGAGUAGUGAGCUCCCUGUUACUGAAGGUCUUCAGGAAUAGGUUGGAUGGCCACUAGCCAGGGAGAAGCUUAGAGGACAUCUAGACUUCAGAUAUCAUUUAUACUAGAUGUGUACAGCCUUUUACAGCCUUGACAGUGUUGACAAUUACCAAGUGGGAAGGGCCCCAGGGGAUGAUACUUUCCUUCUCUGUGCAAUAUACCCUCCACUGAUCCCCCACUGUGCCUGGCAGAUUGAAGAAGAAGCCAAUGUUUCUCUGAACUUCAAAGCCCAGAAAUCAUCUGCAAGUCUAAAUCCUCAAUGACAUUAGACCCCAUUUACUAUGAAAUCCAAAGGAAAUGACCUGGUCCUUCUCGUUCUCUGCACUGCACAUGUAUGUGCAAGCAGACCUCUGAGAUGCUACAGGUUUGGUUCCAGAUCACCAAAUAAAGCCAAUGUAGCAAGUU